rnacentral:rRNA from 1 species
UCGGGAAUUUUGGGCAAUGGGCGAAAGCCUGACCCAGCAACGCCGCGUGAGGGAUGAAGUAUUUCGGUAUGUAAACCCCGAAAGAAUGGGAAGAACAAAUGACGGUACCAUUUAUAAGCUCCGGCUAACUACGUGCCAGCAGCCGCGGUAAUACGUAGGGAGCAAGCGUUGUUCGGAUUUACUGGGCGUAAAGGGCGCGUAGGCGGCGCGGUAAGUCACUUGUGAAAUCUCUGAGCUUAACUCAGAACGGCCAAGUGAUACUGCUGUGCUAGAGUGCGGAAGAGGCAACCGGAAUUCUUGGUGUAGCGGUGAAAUGCGUAGAUAUCAAGAGGAACACCUGAGGCGAAGGCGGGUUGCUGGGCCGACACUGACGCUGAUGCGCGAAAGCCAGGGGAGCAAACG